ACAGGUCUUCGGAUGCUGACGAGUGGCGAACGGGUGAGUAAUGUAUCGGAACGUGCCCAGUAGUGGGGGAUAACUACUCGAAAGAGUGGCUAAUACCGCAUGAGAACUGAGGUUGAAAGCGGGGGACCUUCGGGCCUCGCGCUACUGGAGCGGCCGAUAUCAGAUUAGGUAGUUGGUGGGGUAAAGGCCUACCAAGCCGACGAUCUGUAGCUGGUCUGAGAGGACGACCAGCCACACUGGGACUGAGACACGGCCCAGACUCCUACGGGAGGCAGCAGUGGGGAAUUUUGGACAAUGGACGCAAGUCUGAUCCAGCAAUGCCGCGUGCAGGACGAAGGCCUUCGGGUUGUAAACUGCUUUUGUACAGAACGAAAGGGCUCUGGUUAAUACCUGGGGCAGAUGACGGUACUGUAAGAAUAAGCACCGGCUAACUACGUGCCAGCAGCCGCGGUAAUACGUAGGGUGCGAGCGUUAAUCGGAAUUACUGGGCGUAAAGCGUGCGCAGGCGGUUUUGUAAGACCGAUGUGAAAUCCCCGGGCUCAACCUGGGAACUGCAUUGGUGACUUGCAAGGCUGGAGUGCGGCAAAANGGGGGAUUGGAAUUCCGCGUUGUUAGCAGUGGAAAUUGCGUUAAAUUAUGCGGGAAGGAAACAACCGAUUGGCGGAAAGGCAAAUCCCCCUUGGGGCCCUUGCAACUGGACCCCUCCAAUUGCAACCAANUNCCCACCCCCCCCUAAAAACNAAUUNUUCAAACUNGGGNUUGGUUGGGGGUUUUUUUNGCNUUUNCCNCCNNNAAAACNAAANCCUUAACCCCCNUUUAAAAUUUUAANCCCCCCCUGGGGGGAAUUUCCCGGNCCCCNAAAGGGGUUUNAAAACCNCCAAAAGGGGAAU
rnacentral:rRNA from 1 species